rnacentral:rRNA from 1 species
GGACCCGCACAAGUAGUGGAGCAUGUGGUUUAAUUCGAAGAUACGCGCAGAACCUUACCAACACUUGACAUGUUCGUCGCGACUUAAGAGAUUAAAGUUUUCGGUUCGGCCGGACGAAACACAGGUGCUGCAUGGCUGUCGUCAGCUCGUGUCGUGAGAUGUUGGUUAAGUCCCGCAACGAGCGCAACCCUCACUUUUAGUUGCCAUCAUUAAGUUGGGCACUCUGAAAGAACUGCCAGUGAUAAGCUGGAGGAAGGUGGGGAUGACGUCAAGUCCUCAUGGCCCUUACGUGUUGGGCUACACACGUGCUACAAUGGCCGGUACAAACGGUUGCGAACCCGCGAGGGGAAGCUAA